rnacentral:tRNA from 1 species
AGGGUUGUAGUUAAUUAUAACAUUUGAAUUGCACUCAAAAAGUACUAAAUCUAGUCUACCUUA